rnacentral:rRNA from 1 species
GGCUGCAUGUUAUUUAUAUGGAGUCUGGCCUGCCCACUGAAUAAAAUAAAGGGCUGCGGUAAUUUGACCGUGCGAAGGUAGCAUAAUCAAUAGUCUUUUAAUUGAAGGCUGGAAUGAAUGGUCGGACAAGAAGAUAGUUGUCUCGGUUUUAAUUUUUGAAUUUUACCUUUAAGUGAAAAGGCUUAAAUAAAAUAAAGGGACGAUAAGACCCUUUAAAACUUUACAUUAGAAACUUAACUCUUUAAAUAAGAAGUAUAAAAAAAGUUAAAUUUCAAUUGUUUUGUUGGGGCGACAAAAAUAUAAAUUAUAUUAAAUAACUGUUUAAAAAAUAAAAUAAUAUUAAUUAGAUUUUGAUCCGGUAAUACCGAUUAAAAGAACAAGUUACUUUAGGGAUAACAGCGUAAUUGUUUUUGAGAGUUCUUAUCGACAAAACGAGUUGCGACCUCGAUGUUGAAUUAAAGUUUCCUUUUUGAGCAAAAGUAAGAAAGGUAGGUCUGUUCGACCUUUAAAAUUUUACAUGAUUUGAGUUCAAACCGGUG